rnacentral:tRNA from 1 species
UGAGAAAGACAUAUUGGAUAUGGGGCUGACUUGAAAUCAGUUUUGGGGGGUUCGAAUCCUUCCUUUCUUA